rnacentral:rRNA from 3 species
ACGGGUGAGUAACGCGUGGGGAUAUGCCCAAAGGUGCGGAAUAACUGUGGGAAACUACAGCUAAUACCGCAUGUGCCCUUCGGGGGAAAGAUUUAUCGCCUUUGGAUUAACCCGCGUCAGAUUAGCUAGUUGGUAGGGUAAUGGCCUACCAAGGCGACGAUCUGUAGCUGGUCUGAGAGGAUGACCAGCCACACUGGGACUGAGACACGGCCCAGACUCCUACGGGAGGCAGCAGUGGGGAAUAUUGGACAAUGGGCGCAAGCCUGAUCCAGCCAUGCCGCGUGAGUGAUGACGGCCUUAGGGUUGUAAAGCUCUUUUAACAGGGACGAUAAUGACGGUACCUGUAGAAUAAGCCCCGGCUAACUUCGUGCCAGCAGCCGCGGUAAUACGAAGGGGGCUAGCGUUGUUCGGAAUUACUGGGCGUAAAGCGCACGUAGGCGGAUUUUUAAGUCAGGGGUGAAAUCCCGAGGCUCAACCUCGGAACUGCCUUUGAUACUGGAGAUCUUGAGUUCGGAAGAGGUUGGUGGAACAGCUAGUGUAGAGGUGAAAUUCGUAGA